rnacentral:sRNA from 1 species
ACAACAUAAAAGCUUUGAGAAGCAAUAAAAGGCCUUGUUAGUGUUUUGGAGUCAAAUAUGACUAUGAGUCAUUUGUAUGAUUAAGUAUAAGAAGUAGAACCGCAACCGGUUCCCAAAAGUUAAAGUACAGUUUCAUUGGUACAAGAUACAUAGCCAAAGACUCAUACGGACUUCGGCAGUGUUUUUGAAACAAUACUCCAUUCUUAUGGAUAAAAGCAUUUCAGACACUGAUCUUUGGAAUCUGUCAAUAGGGCUGAAUUGGUCACUUCAGAUCUUUAUCACCAAGUUUAAGGGUGUGCUUUCAAAGCUCCCAAGAAUUUU